rnacentral:rRNA from 1 species
AUUGAACGCUGGCGGCAUGCUUUACACAUGCAAGUCGAACGGUAACAGGCCUUCGGGUGCUGACGAGUGGCGAACGGGUGAGUAAUACAUCGGAACGUACCCAGAGGUGGGGGAUAACGCAGCGAAAGCUGUGCUAAUACCGCAUGUGAUCUGAGGAUGAAAGCGGGGGACCGCGCAGCAAUGUUUGGCCUCGCGCCUUUGUAGCGGCCGAUGUCGGAUUAGCUAGUUGGUGGGGUAAAGGCCUACCAAGGCGACGAUCCGUAGCUGGUCUGAGAGGACGACCAGCCACACUGGGACUGAGACACGGCCCAGACUCCUACGGGAGGCAGCAGUGGGGAAUUUUGGACAAUGGGCGCAAGCCUGAUCCAGCAAUGCCGCGUGCGGGAAGAAGGCCUUCGGGUUGUAAACCGCUUUUGGCAGGAACGAAACGGUGUCCGCUAAUACCGGGCGCUAAUGACGGUACCUGCAGAAUAAGCACCGGCUAACUACGUG